UCAAGGUCGAAACCCUUAUCUGCCGCUGCAACUGGAAUCUGAUUCUCGUACAGUUGUAAAUAAAACACGAUUGAAAAGGCGUGCAUGUUUUGCAGAUACACCUCCGCGGGAGGAAAUAUGAUCAGAAGUUGUUUCAUACGACGUUUUCUUAUUCAACAAUGGAAGCAGCCUAGACUGUUUGACACAGCAGUCGUUUUAAACAGAAACAAUUGCAGUAGCAUCAACUAUUGUUUCUUGGAUGCAAGGCAUUACACCAGUGAAGUAGAAAAGUCAAAAAAAGCAACUAAAGUGAAAGGGCCAACAAUUUUUGACAAAAUUAUUAGAAGAGAAAUACCAGCCGACAUUAUUUAUGAAGAUGACUUGUGUUUGGCAUUUAAUGAUGUAAAUCCGCAAGCACCAGUACACUUUCUUGUUAUACCCAAAAAACAAAUACCAAUGCUUGGAGAUGCAGAGGAUAAUGAUAAGGAGCUUUUGGGUUACCUUCUGCUAAAAGCACGCAAACUUGGAAAUGAACGGAUGAAAAAUGGAUACAGAAUUGGCUAAAUCUGAUCAGUUGUAGAUACCAAACAUGUUGUCACUAAUUAUCCUUCAGUUGAACUAGACACCUUGUCCAGUAUUAGAAAAGCAAUAAGGCAAAUUGCUUUUACUGACUUUUUUCUGCAAACACAUAUAAAUGUACAAAUGAAGUUACUGAAAAAAUGAACACAUUAUAAAUAACGGGCCUGAUGGAUGCCAGUCUGUGUAUCAUCUCCAUAUCCAUGUAGUCGGUGGGCGACAGCUUGGUUGGCCACCAGGUUAACUAUUGCAGUUUAUUGUGCACAUAUUUUUGUUGUAACUGUUGCUCAGUUCUUUGGAACCUGUAAAUAAGAGAACAAUAAAUAAGUUUACCAUGAAAGAAUAA